UACGUAGGGGGCAAGCGUUGUCCGGAAUCAUUGGGCGUAAAGAGCGCGUAGGCGGUCCGGUAAGUCCGCUCUGAAAGUCCGGGGCUCAACCCCGGGAGGCGGGCGGAUACUGUCGGGCUAGAGUCCGGAAGAGGCGAGUGGAAUUCCUGGUGUAGCGGUGAAAUGCGCAGAUAUCAGGAGGAACACCGAUGGCGAAGGCGGCUCACUGGCCCGGUACUGACGCUGAGGAGCGAAAGCGUGGGGAGCGAACAGG
rnacentral:rRNA from 1 species